rnacentral:rRNA from 1 species
UUGGAGGGCACGUCUGGUGCCAGCAGCCGCGGUAAUUCCAGCUCCAAUAGCGUAUAUUAAAGUUGCUGCAGUUAAAAAGCUCGUAGUUGAAUUUCGGGACCAUCAUGUCGGUCGUGCCUCGGUACGUACUGGCAUUGUUGGUUUCUCCCUUCUGACGAACCAUGAUGUCAUUUAUUUGGUGUUGUGGGGAAUCAGGACUGUUACUUUGAAAAAAUUAGAGUGUUUAAAGCAGGCUCACGCUUGAAUACAUUAGCAUGGAAUAAUGAAAUAGGACGUUUGAUUCUAUUUUGUUGGUUUCUAGGAUCGACGUAAUGAUUAAUAGGGAUAGUUGGGGGCAUUAGUAUUCAAUUGUCAGAGGUGAAAUUCUUGGAUUUAUUGAAGACUAACUACUGCGAAAGCAUUUGCCAAGGAUGUUUUCAUUAAUCAAGAACGAAAGUUAGGGGACCGAAGACGAUCAGGUACCGUCGUAGUCUUAACCAUAAACUAUGCCGACUAGGGAUCGGAUGAUGUUAAUUUUUUAAUGACUCAUUCGGCGCCUUACGGGAAACCAAAGUGUUUGGGUUC